rnacentral:rRNA from 1 species
AAUGAACGCUGGCGGCGCGCCUAAUACAUGCAAGUCGAGCGAGAAGACGUAGCAAUACGUUUGUAAAGCGGCGAACGGGUGAGGAAUACAUGGGUAACCUACCCUCGAGUGGGGAAUAACUAGCCGAAAGGUUAGCUAAUACCGCGUACGCUCCUUGGACUUCGGUUCAGGGAGGAAAGCGAUACCGUGGGUAUCGCGCUCUUGGUUGGGCUCAUGUCCUAUCAGCUUGUUGGUGAGGUAACGGCUCACCAAGGCUUCGACGGGUAGCUGGUCUGAGAGGACGAUCAGCCACACUGGCACUGCGACACGGGCCAGACUCCUACGGGAGGCAGCAGUGGGGAAUCUUGCGCAAUGGGCGAAAGCCUGACGCAGCGACGCCGCGUGAGGGAUGACGGCCU